rnacentral:tRNA from 1 species
GAAGGUGUAGUUCAGUGGCAGAGUGCUAUGCUUAGCAAGCAUGAGGUCCUGGGGUCAAUCCCCAGUAUCUCCA